rnacentral:lncRNA from 1 species
UUCACGGGCCUUGACGAGGUCGCUGGUCAUUAUUAUUUACUAUCCAGGGAGCUUUGUGACACUUGAAGUUGGAAGGGUCCAAAUAACAUGUUUAUCCUGUGGAAUGCAGCAGCAAUGGGUCCUAUUCCGUACCGCGGGUGGCCGUCGCAGCCCGCUGAGCGAAGGCAUUCUGGCCUUUAUGGUUUGCCUUAUAUGAAUCCCUUUGACCCGUGACUUGCGUGGGUACGUAGCCGGCCCGAGCGUGCUAGCGUCCCGCGAACGAAACCAACAAUGCCGGGGGCUGCGGGUUGCCGGCAUUAAGUCAUUUUAUACUUGCCAAAUUAUAUAAAAUAUAUUUCAGCACUGUAGGGCUUGAAGUUAUUUGCAGUUAUGGGCUGCGCGUUGAAGUCGCACGGUGGUUUCGACUUUCUAUCUUACUUAUGCCCCGCUGCAAAUUUGGUUGAGGAUCGCUAAUUUCUCACGCAUAGACUUGAUCGUAUUAUAUACUAUUUGCCAUUAUACGCUUGUAGUGAUAUUUGCGAGGACCUGACCUGGCUCGCUUUAACCCUAUGCCCAUGUUGGCAACGGUCAACGUUAAGUCAACGUUUUAAUGCAUCUUUAAGUCAUCUUGUGCAAAACAUUUCUUGGGUCAUUGCCCCUACUAAUGGAAAUGGAGGUGUUUGGGAGAAGGUUGACCACCGCGGCAUGGAAAGCAUGGACAUGGACAAGCUCGCCCCACCAACACGGUCAGCUUGCAGCAAGUGGUUUUAUGCAGUUAUAUUCGUGACUAUGUGCUAGAAACAAACAAAUGGUACACUAGUGCGUACAUUGAACGUUUGGGAACGCUGCCGAGGAGCGUUCUUUGGAGCACACGCAAAUCGAGCUUCUAGUUGGCUGGCAGGCAGAAGGCAAAUUUUAGCCCGUAGUAUGACAACUGUUUGGAAUUAAUGCUUCGUGGCUUGCGUUCAGCACUCCUGCUGCUUGAACUUGCCCAGCAUGUGCGCACUGGCCCCAAAAUUGGACCUGUCUGGCGUGGACAUAUGAUAUUGUGACCCACGAUACCGUGUCGGGCAGUACUUACCGUGCAAAAUCGCAUACGCUGAAACGGAAUGGUUCUCGCUCAUAGUUUGCCGUAAACGUCUUCUUCAAAGGGACUGCGGAGGGCGUGACGGAGGUGGUAUCUAAGGAGAUGCCAAGUGUGUUUCGCCGUACUGAGGCGUUGGCUGGACGUUUGUAUUCUCGGUUGAGGGGUUUGGUGGCACCUUGUGUCAAGGCACACAGUCCUUAUCCUACAUGUUUCUAGAUUUCCUCCUGCCAGUCUACCUUAUUCUCGGUUGAGGGGUUUGGUGGCACCUUGUGUCAAGGCACACAGUCCUUAUCCUACAUGUUUCUAGAUUUCCUCCUGCCAGUCUAUCCUAGUGCACGCACUUCUACGUCUGCUGUUUGUGUCCAGUGACGUACCACACCCUUGAACCCGCACAGGCUGAAGAAGCGCGAUCGCAGCUAGAGCCAGGAAUUCUGGAGCUGGAGCUGCAGGUGAGUUCAAAUUCGUAAGCGUACCUGCCUUGGAUUAAAGCGUUGGGCGUUUAAUCCUUAGGUCUUUCUCGUUCAGGCAAAGGCUAGUCUUCGAAGCGCGGCAGUCAAGCAUAUGCGGCCCUCGUCCGAUGACGAACUACCUGGUGACCGAAAGCUCCGUGUCAUGGGUGCAGUAAUGGACAACCCUACGAAUGUCGCUGGGGAUCCGCCAUCGACUGUAAGUGCGACGUGAUUCGUCUAGCGGUUUCGCAGUUAUCUGUUGACAAGCGUUCUCACCACAUUUUAAAUCCGUGUUUCUCUGAUUCUCUAAAUGUAAUUGCAGUCCACGCCGGCGGAUUCCAGCCCAACUGUUGGGGACGGUAACCGGCUUGCUAUAGCUACUGAUAGCGCUCAACUGUCACGGUCCGCCAGCCACGGUCCACACGGCGGGGACGGCGCUGAACCUGGGCCACGUGUUCAGCCCCGUAUUCAGUCGCUCCGGGAGGCGGAUACCGGCACUUCUGGCGAUCGCCAAUCGGGCCUUGUUGGGAGGGUGCAGCUAUCUGGUAUAACGCGUACUCUUGCAGUUGCCGACGGGACCCAAGAGGCCACAGCACCGCAGCUCAGAGUUGGUCUUCCUAUUGUGCGCGCGGAUAAGGGCAAGUCCGAUGGCGAAACACUGGACGGCGCAACCAGUGCACUGCGCCGCAAUCAGUCUGUAAAGCGAGCCGCCAGCCCGCCGACAUCAGCUGCCAAAAUCCGCGGCGAUGGCAGCCUUGCGGCAGGCGAUAACCAUGGGAACCCCAACAAAUGGCGUGUCGCUGUCGGUGCUGUUAAUGCAGUAAGGAAUUUGGCUGUCUCGACGCCGCCUCCGGCCCGUCAUGUCCUUGGGGCGAACCAACAGCAGCCACCUACCUCAGGUGUCUCGUCUCCCACAGGCUCCGUCGUUGGCGUGGCUGGUGCGAAGAUUGAUUGGUCACCGCGGGACCCUGCGUCGAUGCGUGCCUCCGGGCCUCGACAAGAAGACACGCGAUCUGAACGUUCGUACAGCCAUACGUCUAUUCCGUCAGCAGGGGGACCUCCGCAAAAUCGGUCCCACAGGUUUCGCCCACCGACGUCACAGCCUGAGGAAGCUGCUCCAUCGAUGGCCUUGCAAAGAGUUGGAACUUUCCGUAGUCCUGAUCGGAGCCCCGACCAGGAUGACAGCGUAGACAUGGGCACAGCCGGUGCGCUACUAGAUAAGGUGG